UCCAUCCAGGGGCCAGGAUGACAAUCCGACACCAAGGCCAGCAGUACAGGCCAAGGAUGGCAUUUCUCCAAAAGAUUGAAGCGCUCGUGAAGGACAUGCAGAACCCGGAGACAGGGGUCCGAAUGCAGAACCAGAGGGUCCUGGUCACCAGCGUUCCUCAUGCCAUGACAGGAAGUGAUGUUCUGCAAUGGAUCAUCCAGCGGCUUUGGAUCUCCAGUCUGGAGGCACAGAACUUGGGCAACUUUAUUGUCCGGUAUGGCUACAUUUACCCUCUGCAAGACCCCAAGAAUCUCAUUCUCAAGCCUGAUGGCAGCCUCUACCGAUUUCAGACACCGUAUUUCUGGCCCACCCAGCAGUGGCCAGCUGAAGAUACUGAUUACGCCAUCUAUCUGGCCAAGCGAAAUAUCAAGAAGAAAGGGAUUUUGGAAGAAUAUGAAAAGGAAAAUUACAAUUUCUUGAACCAAAAAAUGAACUAUAAGUGGGACUUUGUCAUUAUGCAGGCCAAAGAGCAGUACAGGGCUGGAAAGGAGAGGAACAAAGCAGACAGAUAUGCCCUGGACUGCCAGGAGAAGGCAUACUGGCUGGUGCACCGAUGCCCUCCUGGAAUGGACAAUGUGCUGGACUACGGCCUGGACCGAGUGACCAAUCCGAAUGAAGUCAAGAAACAAACAGUCGUUGCUGUCAAAAAAGAGAUCAUGUAUUACCAACAGGCCUUGAUGAGGUCCACAGUGAAGUCUUCUGUGUCCCUGGGAGGGAUUGUGAAAUACAGCGAGCAGUUCUCAUCCAACGAUGCCAUCAUGUCAGGCUGCCUCCCCAGCAACCCCUGGAUCACCGAUGACACCCAGUUCUGGGACUUAAAUGCCAAAUUGGUGGAAAUCCCAACCAAGAUGCGAGUGGAACGAUGGGCCUUCAACUUCAGCGAAUUGAUCCGAGACCCCAAAGGUCGACAGAGCUUCCAGUACUUCCUCAAGAAAGAAUUCAGUGGAGAGAAUUUGGGAUUCUGGGAAGCCUGUGAGGAUCUGAAGUAUGGAGAUCAGUCCAAAGUCAAGGAGAAAGCAGAGGAGAUUUACAAGCUGUUCCUGGCCCCAGGGGCGAGGCGCUGGAUCAACAUAGAUGGCAAAACUAUGGACAUCACAGUGAAGGGGCUGAAGCACCCCCACCGCUAUGUGCUGGACGCCGCACAAACCCAUAUUUACAUGCUCAUGAAGAAGGAUUCUUAUGCUCGCUAUUUAAAAUCUCCGAUCUAUAAGGAAAUGCUGGCCAAAGCUAUUGAACCUCAGGAAACCACCAAGAAAAGCUCCACCCUCCCUUUUAUGCGGCGUCACCUGCGCUCCAGCCCAAGCCCUGUCAUCCUGAGGCAGCUGGAAGAGGAAGCCAAGGCCCGAGAAGCGGCCAACACCGUGGACAUCACCCAGGUCAUGAGCAAGCUGGACCGGAGGAGCCAACUCCAAAAAGAGCUGCCUCCUAAAUAA
rnacentral:sRNA from 1 species